GUUAGGUCACAAGAGGCUACAAAUAGGAGGGUAUGGAAGCCUUGGCAUUCUUUUGCUUUUGGCUGCCGAAAUUAGAGAGAGAAGGAGAGAGAGAGAGAGAGAGAGGCAUGAAAGAGAGAGAAGGAGGAGACGAAAGAAAGAAGAAGGAGGAGGUCUUAGGGUAUUCAAGGGUGAUUAUCACUUGGGUAUUGAUCAAGUUGUGUUCUUGAUUUUACAAUCAAGAGAGGUAGCAAAUAGGAUUUCUCUAUGGCACGCAUGGUGACGUGAGGAGUUCUAUCGUCGUAGGGUGUAUGGCAUGGGAUAUCCUAUGGACGGAAUAAACGAUCACUUUAGGACGCCAUUUUAAUUAUGUUAUGUUUUAAGAGACUUUCUAAAUUAUCAGUGGGACUUAAUUAUUUAAUAUUGUUUCUUUUGAACUUUGCAUAAAAACUCAUAUUUUCUUUUUAAACUAAUGGGCCCAGCUUGCAUUGUUUUAAGCAAGUCCCCACUGAGACCUUUAUAAAAAGUGGUUUUCUUUAUGGACCAACGAUAUGUGAAUGUUUUAAUAAGUACUAGUCUAGGGCGUUCUUUACAGUUGAUGCAUGGGAGAUUAAUCUAGGCGUGGGUAGGGGUUUAUGGUGUUGAUUUGAUUUUUAUUGUUGUAUGUUCAUAAUGUGUGUAAUGAGAUGAUUAUUGAAAUAUGGUGUUGAUGAUAUUUU